rnacentral:rRNA from 1 species
AUACGGGAGGCAGCAGUGGGGAAUUUUCCGCAAUGGGCGAAAGCCUGACGGAGUGACGCCGCGUGGGGGACGAAGGCCUUCGGGUCGUAAACCCCUGUCAGAGGGAAAGAAGGGCGCUGGCGUGAAUAGCGCCGGCGUCUGACGGUACCUUCAGAGGAAGCCCCGGCCAACUCUGUGCCAGCAGCCGCGGUAAGACAGAGGGGGCAAGCGUUGCUCGGAAUCACUGGGCGUAAAGGGCGCGUAGGCGGGAUGGCAAGUCGGUCGUGAAAUCCUUCGGCUCAACCGAAGAACGUCGGCCGAUACUGCUGUUCUUGAGGGAUGCAGAGGAGACUGGAAUUCCCGGUGUAGCGGUGAAAUGUGUAGAGAUCGGGAGGAACACCGGUGGCGAAGGCGGGUCUCUGGGCAUUUCCUGACGCUGAGGCGCGAAAGCGUGGGGAGCAAACGGGAUUAGAUACCCUGGUAGG